GUUGGGUGUGGUGGUACACACCUAUAAUCUCUGCCACCAGAAAGGCUAUGGCUUGGAGAUCUUUGGAGCUUGGGAGUUCUGAGCUGCAAUGGACUAUGCCGUUUGGGUGUCCAUACUGUCUGGUAUUGAUAUGGUGAGGCCCCAGAGAGCAGGGGACCACCAUGUUGCCUAAGGAGGGGUGAAUUAGCCCAGGUCAGAAACACAGCAGGCCAAAGCUCUGGUGACAACUAAUAGUGAGAUUAGCCUUUGAGUAGUCUUGAACUUGUCCUGGUGAAAGGGGGAGAGCUU
rnacentral:SRP_RNA from 1 species